rnacentral:lncRNA from 1 species
GAAUCUGCUACCAGGGCUCGCGGUGGUGCGAGGUGAUGUCGGAGGCUCUGGAGUCCACGACGCGCGCUCUACGUCAAAUACCUGCAAGUAGAAACUAGGCGAUUCUAGUGAGAAUCGGCGAGUUUCUUAGUGAUUCUCUGGCGAGAGUGGAACUUGUGUUGUGCCUUUGAGUGCCCCCUUGGGACCCUUUUUAUAGGGUCUCGGAGGGCGCAAUCAAAGGCGGA